CUUAGAUAAGUUUACUGUUAGCGCACACUUCCCUCAGUUAGCAAGCUGCAACACCCACUGAGGCUGAGGACUGCAGGGAGAGACGGAGGUACUUGGGGGGUAAGAUCAGUUUUCCGAUGCUUACUGGUUAAUCGUUACGCCUGUGCUGCUGGCGAAGUGAACAAUCUGUCAGUAAGUGACUGGUAAUGCUUUUAAUUGUACCAUUGUAGUACUUACAGAUACGUACAUGUAGUUUAAAAAGACAGUAGAAGUAAAAGUUGUCGUAGUUAAAAAUAGUAUAAAUUCUUUAAGUUCUCAGAUUUUAACCAUCUUAUUUCCUAUCUUCACAUCUUGGUCCCUUGUACCUACAUGUAUGUAUCGGCUUUCCUGUACUGGUAUACUGUCUGUACAAAAUAAUUAUAUCUGACAUUACUUCACUCGGUGUGCCUCCACUAUAAAACACUGCGGGAAAUCUUGGUCUUAUUUUUACCACUUCAGAAGACAAAUCCUGUUCAGUAUAUACGUAAGAUAUGCACCUCAUAGGACCCUACAGUGUUUAGUUUGAAACUCCAUUGUAUGUGUCUUUCUUUAAGGCAAGUUAAUCUUAAUCAUAACUGCCUUAUUAUUGGCAGAAAGGUUAAGGUCGAAUUAAAUGAAACAGCAGGAAUAAUGUGUUUUGUGUCACGAAUGAUUGUGUUCUUUUUCUUUGAUGUACUUUGAAUGUCUGUAACUGCUGAUAGACUGGGAAAAGACAAUGUUGUGAAUGGAAAGGACCUUGACCCACUUUAAACAACAAAGCCGUGCCGUGGGAAAUGAGUGAAGGAUAAUUUAAAAUAGAGGUGAGAUGAAAGAAAAACACCCAAAAGCGAACAAUGCUUGUAUUUUCUUAGUUUUUGCCUAUUUGAGGGCCUUGCCAACAAGUAGUGUACUGUUCACUACAGUGGAAAAAAUCCUAAUGAUGACUACACUUAAGUGUGAAGAGCUUAUUGAGUUUUCCCUAGGAAGCCUCCCCAGUGCAUCGUUUGGAGCUGUGCUGUAGGCAGUGACUGCAGAGACUCCAAUUACUGACCAAGUCCCACUUGGCUGGCUUCUAACUGUGACCAGCAAAUUAGAAAGAGAGAGAGAGGAGAGAGAGAGAGAGAGAAAGAGAAAGGGAUUGAAAAAGCAUUUAAAAGGCAAGACGAAAGUUUUGGUUGCAGUGCGAUACUAGCCUACAGGAAGCCAAAAAAGACAAACGUCAAGCAGAGUUUAACAAGUGCAUUGCCUGAGCGGAGGGAGAGAUAGGCAGCUCUUUGUUCAUGAGUUGGACACGCUCCAAACGCCUGCUUCAUAGGAUGUUCUUCGAUAAUCCAGCAGUGAGCAGCUGAUUUAUGACCUGCAUUAAUGUUCUGACUGAACUUCCUGAACAGAAUCUUAAACUAUAACCAAACCACAUGGAGCGGAGGAAAAAUAACAUCUAACAAAAAUAGAUGUAAUUUUCUCUUCCCACAUGAAUGGGAAUUGUGUGAGUAACACCUGUGGCUUUAAUUUAUAAUUAAUAUGUAUAUAUAUAUAUAUGUGUGUGUUUUUGGUUUUGUAUUGGAAUUGUAAUUACCAAGAAGAAGAAUUUAAAUGACUAACCAACCCUUAGUCAUAACAGCAGGAAGUCAGUGUGAGGUUUCACUCAUAGACUACGUGCAGAUAAGUGCAUGGUGUGGUUCUGGGCCAAAAGUGAGGAACUGGUGUGAUAAUACUUCCCAUCUUUGAAACCCUUCAUACGUUUGCAACAUGUAGGAGUCUCAGCGUUGCAGUAAGGCAUUAAACUACAGUUCUGAUGAAAAAUGGGGCGAAAAAAUGAUUCAACGCCUGCAAACAAAACCAAUUAUCUCGAGGUUCACGGGCCAAGAGCAGCUGCCUGUUGUAAAAGAAAACAGAGGUCCGUCAUCUUUUUUCUGUGUCUCUGAGCACUUUCAAGGGAUCCCAGGCACUUUCAGCCCAUAACUUAUUUCUGUUCCUCUACUGUUUUGACGUGAUAUCGUGUUUCCCAAGACAGGAGCUUGUACACUCGGGAGGGGAGAUGGAUAAGAGUGGAUGUGCCACGUUUUGACAUUGAAGUAAGAUUACUCUGUUCCCUCCAAGCAGACACACAUUAAACAAGUGGGAGAUCAGGGAAGCAGAACGGCAGAUGAGAAGUAGCUGUGCGUGUGUGCACUUCCACAUGGGGCUUAAGAGGCAGCAAGGACAGCUGGUUCACUCAUCACUACUUUGCUGUGUCCUGGGCCUUUCAAAAUCCCCAGGGACAGAUUGUUUCUACUGGAGAACUGUACAGUGACUAUGGGCAAUACAAUUUUCUAAUGUACCUCAAUGUGUUUUCUGAUGGUGUAAUUAAGAACAGAGCAUUAGCCUGAAAAAUAAAAUGAAACACAACACAAGUCAUUCAUUAUAAAGUAAUAAAAACAUACCUGUGAACAUUAUAAUACAUUCCUGCUAAUAGAUCCUCUUAAAUGUCACCCACUGGACGUUUAAAUAUGUUCACGCUAAAAGAUUGAUGCUAAAGCAGCGAGACACAGGCAGAAAGUCACUGUAUUUGUCAGUUAAUGAUGUGGAAAACGUGGAAAUACAGUAUUGUUCUUGUAUUUUAGUGUACAGCUAGUUGUAAUAAAAGUAGUGUGUUGUCACUUUUAACAUGAAAAUAGAAAAGGCUUUUAAGAUGAAGACUACUCGUUGUUGGGUAGUUAACCUUGGCUGUAAACUUCCCCAAAUCAAAUAGAAAGCAGGACUGUUAAUUUCAAUCUUAUAAUUCAAAAAUAGUAUUUUUUAUUGUCUGCAACUUGCUGUAAAUAGUCAGAUACAGUAACAAGCACAUGUGGACCGAGCUGUACCUUUUACAGGCUUAUUGAAAUAAUAAACACCAUAAUUGGUAUUCCUGGUCCUGUGAAUAUACAUUUGGCAAAAUUCCCCAAAUGUUUCAUCAAAAUUUCAGCCUUAACGUCUGUCAUUGGCAUUUGCGUCUGAUUACCCAGCAGGUAAAGUUUCAUGUAAGCAAAGCUAUCUAUCUAACAGUGAAUCUGAGCUGUUCUUUGGAGGGAUGACAUACUUGUGCUCAUUCCAAACUUUGCACAAUACAAGAGCUGCAGUUUUUCACUCCCACGUGAUUUGGUGACACUUUGAUGAAUCUUUUGUCAUCUCACCGUAUAUGUUUCACUCUCCUUAAAAGGUUUAAACUAGUGUUUACCUUUUCUGUUGCAGGGAGGUCUACAAUUCCCAUGUUUUUUGUGGAAAUGAUAAGUUAGGAAGAGUAUCUUUGCUUUUAUGAGGUUGAAGGAGUAAAGUAAAUAGAGAUAUUUUCCUCAAUGUCUGCAACUUAGAAAUUAAAUUCUUGCUGCGAGCCAUGUGUGCAUUGAGAAUAUACUGUAGGCAUUUUAAAAGAAUCUCUCCAAGGUUUGUAACAUAUUGAAUCCCUGAUUUGAGGAGACACUGCAGGUAAAGCAGAAAAGUUUGACUGUCUGUUGUCAGUGCACCUCUCCUAGAGAUGAAAACAUCCUAUUGGCUUCUCACGCAUGGCUAACUCAGACCCAUCACAACAAAUCUGUCUCUCUGGGCCUUUGUGUGUGUGUGUGUGUGUGUGUGUGUGUGUGUGUGUGUGUGAGAGAGAGAGAGAGAGAGAGAGAGAGAGAGAGAGAGAGAGAGAGAGAGAGAUGGUGUGGCAGGCAAGGGAGUGAUGGACUAGAAGUGACAUACGACCCCUGAAGCAGCCAAGGAUUAAUGGCCUCAAUAGGCGAGCUCCUCAAGAAGGAUGUGGACGGGUAAUAAGGACUUCCACCAGCCACAGUGCAUCCAUCCAUCUGCCCUUCCGGAUCCACGCUCUCCUGCAGCUGGAGCUUCCAGAUGUGGAGCCACCUGUGGAAAAAGGGACACUGUUUUCCUGCCACAGAGGCAGAGAUUCCUCAGUAAAAUAACUCUUGACUUGAUACUCUUCUGAUGUUUUGUGUACAGGGGAACAACAUUUUUGAGUCAAGGGCACCUUUGGUGGUCUGAGUUUGAGAGGGUUUUCAGGUGAGGACAGCGUCACCGGUGGUGUGACAGUUUACACUGUGGCUGGGGAGGCGAGAGAUAUAAGACACUGCAGGGACUCCAGUCAAGGUCCAUAGGAAAAUGAAACAUGGAAAAUGUCACUGGGGUAUUCUGACAUUUUGCACUUUGAGCGAGUCUGAAAAGGUUCAAACACCAACUGAGAAGUGAAAGCGGCAGCUAUGAAUAUGAGUCACCUGCAUGAGAAGACAUGUUACACUCCUUUUACCCUUUCAGAGGUGUUAAUAUAUAAAUGGAAACUAGAAAUAUUUUAAUCUAUUUUAACUGGUGGAAUAAAAUGUUUAAAAAAGUGGGUGAUAGGGCACUGAGUGAAAUUUAAAAAAAAUAGAGUUGUUUAUAAUUAUGACUGCUAUGUGAUUUGUUUGAUUUUUACCAAAAGUGAAGUGAGGAACUUUUCGAAACUCCCUCAUUUCUCAAUGUGAGUCAUUGUGCUUGCGUUGCGUGUACAGUAUCUGCUCAAUAAUCAGAGAACUUCUGAGUAAUACUUACAACUCUUUGUGUUAUCUAAAGGCAUGUUUUAGUCAGUUUAGCCAAAAUACAAAAACAUCAAAUGUUCCUACUUACUCAUAUUGGUGUGUACUCAUACAGGCUGAUAGCUUUCACUUCUGAGACCUCUGCCAUCAACCUAAUGCAGUGGAGGUAAAUGGAGUUCAAUUUGCUCAAAGCUUAGAAAAAGGACAUUUGAAAAAAAGGAAUGAAAAGCAUUCUGGACCUCAAGAAUAGUAGUCUGUCAAAACAAUUUCAACUUAAAGUACACUUACUGUCUUUUUCUGGGUUUCUAUCCUCCUCGUUGGCUUAAGGAACUUAACUGUUAUGACAUCGUAUCAGCGACUGAGCUCAAAUGUCAACAGAGUAAUCUCCAUGACAACUUAGCAAAUUCCAUCCGCAGGUGAAGACCAUGUGAUACAAUCGAAAAAAGUCUGUAAAGGGGCGAGUAAGUAGACCUUGAGUUGGAUCCAGAGAAUGUUGUCCUCACCAUGAACUGUUUUUAUUUCCUGUUUAUUUGGUAGAAAAUAAUUCCAUUGAAAAUCCUUUUGUGAUCUGGGUUAAACUGACCAGUUAAUGUACUACUAACAGGUUUAUUGAAGCAAUAAUUCUGGGUUAUUACAAAUUGGGUCUUAUAUUUGUAGUUUUGACAGUUAUUCAGUAGUUGGUAGAGAUAACAGUUUAAUAUAUUUGCUGGGAUGUGGGAAUGCAGCACAAAUAGACUAUGGACAUCCAUCACAGUUUACAGACUGAGCUCCUGGUUCAACUCUGACCUAGUAUACUUGCCUCCUUUGUAAUGACAGUUCAGGUGUGCUCCCUUUACCUCCACAGUAUUUUAGAUAAUAUGGAUAAAUUGUGACAUUCUUUGCAACCUGUAUGAUGACCCAAAUCUGAGGAAUUACUUUGGUGAGUAUGAUGUUAUCAUAGACAACAGAAAUAAUGUCUAGAAUUACAAUAUUAUGGACAUUGCCAUUUCACUUUUCUUUCUCACAAUGCUUUGAGUUUGCCUGUUGCCUCUGUGGCCUCAGACAGAAAUCACAGAUGAAAGUGCUGCCAUAGGACAUCAAGAGGGCCAGGAGGCAAAACACCUGCUGUCACCAUCUCCCACUCUCAAAACCAGCAUGAAUACACAAGGUCAAAUAGCGGCACUUCACAUCCCAAUCUAUUAGAUUUUCAGAUGCUCUGCUUUUCACCGAGAUCCAAUCACUUCCUGCCAACCAGAUUAAUGCUGGAGGGGGUGGCGAGAGGAAGGCUAGCAGGCUGAUAUUAAAAAGGACCCAUGCUGCUGACAAGUCUUUGAACAGGAGUGAGCGACACAUUCAGGAGAGAUUGUUUCUGCUCUGAAGAAAAUCUGACAGAGAAAUUGUCCUUGUGACUGCAGGUUUUGGAGCCACCGUAGGUUUUUCUUCACGACUGGAAGACUGAGCUGUAUUCAGAUUGUUGCAAUCUGUAACUUCACCACUAGAUGCCACUGAAUCCUACACAAUGGUCCUUUAAGCACAGUCUAUCCAGAUUAAUUCUGAAUGUUGUAUUUAGUGAACUCGUGCCACAUUUUAUUUCUUGGUGUGAAAGGUGCUACAGAAGUGUAACUGCUUAAUAUAUUGAACAGGACAAAGUUUCUCUCAAAACACCUUCUUUUGGGCUUUGGAAAUGUAAUUGCGUUCAUUUACUUUUGACUACUUGGGAGGAGGAGGAACAAACAUUUUUACCUUAUAAAGUUAAUAUGGCAAACUUAAUAGCAGUUGCCUAUUUAACCACCCAGCAAAUAUAGAGCAAAUUUAUCAUUCAUUUAUGACUGUGUUUUUGGCUACCUGAUGAAUGUAAGCCCAAUAUUAAGUUUCAUUUUAGAUCUCUUUUGAUUAUGUUUGGUGCUGGCAGGUAGUGUACACAGGGUUUUUAUGAGUUUGUAAUUAAAAACAGCUGCCCACUGGCUGAAAAUGCUGCUGAUGAGAGCUAAUAAUAAUCCAAAACAGUAAAUUUGUGGAUCAUAAAAUCAAAACAGUGAGCUGACAGCCAGGUGAUAAUACUCUGUGGGUUCAUCACUAAAAUCUUAUUAAUCAUUUGAUCCACUGUUCAUAACAUUUGAUAAGUGCAGCUGUGAAAGUGAAGCCAGUCAUUGACUUUGUUUUGAGGAAUCACGUGCAGUUAGCUGGUAACAUUGUAAAUUCAACACAUAUAUUAAAUAUCCUCAUAUAUAAAAAUGCUUUUUAUUAUGUGCAUUAAACUUUCCAGCCUUUGCCUGUUUUGGGCAACUUGAGCCUGAACUGUAGCUCCAUUAUCAAAUGUCAGCUUUGUGCUGGUAUAAAGAGGCUUAUUUUGUUUUAAAUCAGUAUUAGUACAUUAUGUUCCCUUUGUAAUCUUUUUCUAAUCUAAAGUAUUUCAGCAUUUACAAUUGGUCUUAAUCCUGGGACCAAUUGAUCCCUCUUAAUUAGUUAAUUGUCUAAUUGUUUAAAUCCAGACACCGAAUAAGGAGACUUGUCUUCCUAUUCCAGCUCUUGGAGAGCUCACGUGGGGUCUGGCUCACUGGUCAUCUGCCCCGUCGUCCUAAACCCAAAACAACGCCCACCUAUCAGACCCGCCUGGGCCACUUAAACAACCUCAAGCAAACGGACUCAUUGUAAAAUGGAAGCGUAUGUUUGGCUAAUGGGGCUCAGCUGUCCAGUCAGUUUCACUCAUGUAUAUCUCCUAAUCUGGUGGUGGCUCUGCGAGGAUAAGGGGGGGAUUUCAGAGGCGAUACAAACACACAGAUAGCAGCAAAGAGCACGGUGGAGGCCUGGCCCAGGAUGUCAGUGUUCAGGGUGGGUGACAGUGUUAUUCCCUGCCAUCUGUUUCCCAGGCGGCGGUCCAGCAGUGCUAUGUUGAAUGCACAGGCAUGAGGGAGUAAGGAGCAGCCCACCAUGCCUCUCUAUUGGCAUUGCAGUAUUUCAUAUUAACAUAGCAGAGUGGCCGGCCUCCCAUGCCUGUUUGUAGGGGCGAAUGGGUUCGGUUCAGGCUACACACAGAUAUGUAAAAAAAAGAGCUCUCUUACACUCAGACUGCCCAUCUGUCUAUUGUCUGUCUGUUUUUCAUGUCGGUGGCACUCUCUCAACUCAAAGAAAAAGGACUGGCACAAUCACAAUUUUCACCACAUUGCUUUGCUAUAAAGUUACAAAAUGCAGACAGAGUGCAGAAAAGAGAGGUUAUUGAAUAAGUGCAAGUACAAUUGUUUGUUUUCUCUCUGCGUUUUGUCUUGAAAAAACUGUCGGCCCGUGUGAAUUUCCCAAGAAAAAAAGCCACUUUAACUCUCCUUUAUGAAGACGAGAGGGACGGUAAGCGCCAGUGUUUGGUGACACGACAAAUGCCGUAAAUGGCAUAUCGUUUUCUGUGUGGGUAUGUUACCCAAACAACAAAGGAAUGUUAUGAGAGCAGUGGGGUCUCAUCGCUCAACCUUUUAUGAGAAGAACUCACAAAGGCCUGAAUCACUCUUCCUCUCUGUCUCUGCUGUCACCCUCAGGAAAAGUGAGCACGCCGUAAAUCACCUUGGCAGCUCUGUGUUUUGAAGCAGCAGACUGCCUGUAGCCAGUGUCAUUUUAUAGGUUGUUAUUUCACUCCAUGUUGUAGACAGAAGGGCUCUAAAAUCAUGUUGCUUUAAAUGCUGAUGUGUUUGCUUACCGAGUGGUGAAUCAAACUAGAGAUGAAUGGAGGGACAUCCACAGAAAGACAGCCCAAAGUUCGUGGGGGAACCUCAGUCCAACCUUUGUCCAGAAUCUGAAUCUCAAAGAAUUCAGCUAAUUCUUUUAGUAUGGAAAGUGGAGGCUUUAUUGCAUUCUUUUGAGGACGUGAACCUGAACGUAUAAGUGUUAACUUGCACUUACAUGUGCGCUUUACAUACAAUGAAUUACUUUAUGUGAGGGCUCAUGGGGGAGGUUUAGAGAGAAAACCACGGAGGGUUUUUGGUUUGGACCAUUCCUGCAGAGAUCUGGGCCAUGUUCUGGAUGUCAAAGUUCAAUGAUAAAGAAACUGAAAGUAAUUACCUCACUUUGAGUAAAACAGGAUUUUCAGCUCCAGAGACUUUGUUUCUAUUUCUUUCACAUGUGCAUGUUAAGCUUUUCUGUUUGAUUUUAUCCCAAAACAUUUAGACACCAAGGUGACGUGUCAUAACUGUGUUCAUGCUUGCAUGCACAAGUCUGCACCAAUCCCAAAACAGGCUGUUCAUAAGCUCCAGAGAGAGAGAGCGGGAUUAUUUCUCCCUGAUGCCCUUUGUUUGAAGAAAAAGGUGUUGACUGACAGCUGAGCUCCUGGACCCUACUCAGCCAGGGUUCAAUGCGGAUGCCUGGCUAAUGAGGUUGACUAUGGGGAUUAUAAUCAGACAGGGAAUAUUAGCAUUCUCGUGUGUCAGUCAAGCCGGGAAAACCUCCCAGUGUUGCAGUGUCAAAGUGGGCUUUUCAGCUUCCGAUCGGUUCAUAUUUACCAUACAACAACACAGAGCCAUGUCACAGCGUCCCCAGGGCGGCUUUUUAAGACAUGGCAGUUAAUGGGAGAAGGAGUUAUGGUGGGAAAUCUCACCAUGGGUCCAAUUCGAAGGCCCCAGUGGACACAGAGGGCACUCCAAAACAGACAAAUUAUCUCCUGUCGGCUUUUUGGCAGUAAAAUGUGCUUGUUUUAACCUUGCAGUAUUUAACCUCUCAAUAAUCAUUCAGCGAAAGGUAGACUUCAAGCUGGGACUGAAUCCCCGCUUUGCACAGAAAAGUAUUAAUGGGCAUCACGUUUGACCCUCUCCAACCUCGGCGACACUAACCUCUCCCUCCAUGCUCAGGCCAUCUGAAAGAGCAAAACAGAGAAAGAGAUGAGAGAUGGAAAGAAAAACAUUUAAAAAAAAGAACCGACUCACAAGAGCGAUGUGACAUAUGGAAGCCAUCACAGGCCUGGACUCCCAUCUGUGUCUGCAGUCGUGGCCUGCUGGCACCCACUAGUCACAGCGCAGGAUGGGAAUAAUCCAGGACAGAGGAAUUGUGAUAAGAGGAGUCUGAAUCCCUUUAGGACAAGAUUUCAGCUUUGGGGGAGGGGUGAGAUGGGCUGCAAGUGGAGGGUGUUAUUGUGAGGUGCAAAAGCUCACUGGCGUUUGCAGAAAACAGGUGCCCGACAGCUCAGUGGGGUUCAGAUGGGUUUAGUCGGGCUCAGUUUCUCACGUUUCUGCCUGCAACAAAUUCCCUAAACACGGCUGAAACUGCAACGCUACCACUUCCUUGUUCCACAUCAGCUUGUAAAAAACUGUAAAUGAAAGCGACACAUUCCUUCGCCAUGGAAUUUAAACAGUUUGUAGUCUGGAGCAAAUGUGCGUUUCCUGCUCUGCAGUCGCCGAGAUACAUUUGAUUUUUUUCUGUUUGAUUUCUGUUUGGAUUGCAGUGGCAGUUUUUUGGCUAACUGGAAUAAAACUAAAUGAAAGGCAUAAUUGGAAAAGGAAAUGGGCUUCUCAUCUUAAUUUACAUGUUUGCAUUGUCGAAUUCGCCUAAAGGAACGAAUUUAAAGUGUGUUAUUGUAAGCCCCAGAGUUGAACGGAGAGGUAAUUUAGGAGCCUCCUGACCACAUCCAUUGAAGCUGCGUAUCCUGGUUCACUGCAGAUCUAAUCAGCAAGUUGAAUGAUAUUUGCUCCCUCCAGUCAUGUUCUAUUUUGUUCACACUCUAAAAAUGGCAUCAUAUGCAAACAAUAGAAGCUCUUUAAUCAAUCAAGUUAAGAUAAACAAUUUAGGUAGCUGAUAUUUAAUUAGGCAUCAACAAAUGUUGUUUUUGAGGUAAUGAGGUAAUUGGUUUUGAGGUUUUAUAAAUCCUGCUGACCCGAACGUCUUCUCCUUUGCUAGACCUUACUCACUAGCACAGUGCAAGUUUUUUGUCAGUGAAAAAUUUAUUGUAAAACAGUAAAUUUUUUAUCAGCCCUUUUCACAGGACCCCUGAUGGUAGGCAGAGGCUGUAUCAAUCUGAGAGUGAAUGCCCCUCAGCAUUUUCAGGGGCAUGCAUCUCAUGCACAUGCAACCCACUCACACACUGAAUUUACAACUUCACAACAUUCAAGGAGCUACAAACACCAGCAUCUUGUUAUCUUUUAGUAAAACAAAUGAGGCCUAUACUUUGAAUUUCAAGAAACAGAAUAAAUGCAACAUCUAAUCUUGUGUGAAGGCGGUCAGGUCUCUCAGGUCCUCCACCCUGUGCAGCUCAGCGCUGCCCCGAGGCCACAGAGGGCAGGACCCUUCAGAUUUAACACCUCACACACACGAACACAUGGGAUUUAUUAGUGAUCAAGCCCAUGUGGCUGCACAAAGACACAAAGUCUUAGCCUUUGUCUUGAACAGAGUAAAAAGUUGUAACUCUGUUUCUUUUUUUUCUGCUUUACCUGCAUUUCAUCUGCCUCCUUGCUGCUCGUCCAUCUUCAGUGUUCUUGUGGGGAACAGGGGGAGUCUUUUCAAGCUUGACUAAUGUGGUUCAGAUAGCGUGCAGGAUGACGAUGGGGGAGCACCUCAAUCUGGGCCAUACCUUGUUUGUUGUGGCGGCUUUACCUCAGCCGAUGCUACUCUCCUUUUUUCACUCCUCAUCGCUGCUCCGCUUCAGCGAUUCAGUCAAAUGAAAGAACAGCUGCCUGACCUCUUUUCAGCCUGGUUGCUGUGGUCUGGAUCCUCAGGACAGAGCGUCAUGUCGAGGCCAUCUCCAACAGGAUGUAGGCCUCGUCAUGGCUGCGGUCAACAAGACUCGCCUCAUCUCCUGGCCGCUUGCUGCAAUCAAGCGCCUCUCUUAUCAUUAGGAAGUAUUUCUGCAGGAGAUAUUUUUUUGUUUGUUUGCUGUUUUUAAACAUGUUCAUUUCCUCCAGUGCAAACAAUAAGACAACAUCCUCGGAUGGGGAGGGGAGCGUGCCAGUGCUGUGUGCAGCUGGAGGUGACACAGCAUGCUGUGGUACAGUAAUGGAGUCAUCCAUCAACAGGCCCCAUUAAAACACCUUGACAAGCCAGCUGAGGCCACUCCAGUGACCAUGGUGACCAGUCUAAAGGUUGAUGUUUCUUCUCAAACAGUGGCUGCAGAAAUAGCGCAAAGAUAACAACACUGACAUGGAUCUAUUCAUUUGUUUGCAGUGUUUAUUAGUGUUUAUUUGAAUUUGUUCACUGAGUAAGCUGCUCAUGUACAGUAGCUGCAGUAUAAGUAAGUGAACUCACAAAGUGUAAAGUAAAUUAUCAUGUGAUUGGAGAACUUGCAGAUUAUUUUAUUUUAUAUGUUGACAUACACAGAAAUGACUUUUUUGCAAAUAUUACCCUAAUGAUUCACUGAUAUAUUGAAAAUAUUGAUCAGCCUUUCUGUCUCUUUUUUCUCCAUAUUUGCAUCACACAUUUUCAGUUUGCAGAACAAUGUUUGUUACACUAAGGACAAUAAAUGGGAUGGCUACAUAAGUGUUCUGGUACAAUUAAUCUGAUAUGCAUGUGUAGCCACGUUUCUCUUUAUCUUUCCAAACACAACUAAUAUGACAGUUUUUUGAUCUGAUAAGGUCUGGUUGAGUUCUAGCAACUAAAACUAUUAGUUAGCAACAGAUCAUGGUUAAGGUUAACAUUGUCAUAAUGGUUAGAAGAGACCAAUGUUGACUGUUCAUAAAAAAUACGUUCCAGUAUGUAGCAUUUAAUGGCAUCUAGUUUUGAAGUUGUAGAUUGCAUCUAACUGAACACCACUCAUGUCUGUAUUGGAAGACCUGGGAAUCAGAACGGGCUCUGGAGUGUGUAAGAGAGUGUGGCUGUGAAAGGCCCUAUCUAGAGCCAGUGUUUGGUUUCUCUGUUCUGGGUUACUGUACAAAUGUCUCAUUAUACACUAAUGAAAACACACCUAUGAAUAUUAUAUUCCAUUUUUGCCAAUAGAUUCUCCUAAAUGUUAUACACUGGACCUUUAAGAAUUUACGUUCAUAACUAAUUACGUUAAUUAUGAACAAAUAAGUUACCCUGACUUGCUUAUCAAGCCCUUCUGGCCAAAUGUCAGUCCAGUAUACACCUUUUAGCUCUGCUCUGGUCUACUCCUGACAAAUGUCUUGGUCUUUAAGUUUGCUUAAUGUUUAGCUUUAUACAGCAGCUACUGGGUAGGUUGUGUACAGUACAACAAUCACUUUGUAUUAACUUGGGUGUUGGGAGCAGUGGUUUUAUAUGAACUAACAUUAAACAGUGCAGUCUACUCAAAAGUCUGUAUGUUUUGCCAGUUUAGACAAAUGUCUUUUGUUAAAGAAUCGUCCGUACCGUUGAACCUUGCAUCUGAUAAAAACAGACAUGUGUUUAUACUUUAUUUACAACCCAGAAGGUUAACAAUCGUGUGUCUUGGGAAGAAAAAUAAAAUCACAAAUCAAAUGAUUAUAUUUGAAGAACUUGCAUGUGUUGUUGGCCAAAAUGGCUUUUUUUCCUCUCGUUGAUGUGUUCAAGAGCUCCGUUGUUUGUUCCCUGCACUUUAAGUCCUCUGAAAAUUCACUCAAGCUGAGAUAGAGCAAUUAUGUGCAAUUUCAGCUCUUAAGCCCAUCUCCAGCAAUCACCAUGGAGAUAUUUAAAAUGUGGUUAGAGUCAAACAGCAGACACAGAAAGUGGUAAUAUGUUCCCCUUUCUGCUGACUGCUCUUUGUUCUCUUGAAGUUUAAGCAAUUUAUAAACAAAUACAUGCUUUCUCAAAUCCUUUCACUGAUUUAGAUGAAUUUUCCCCCACAUGGACUAAUGAGAAACAGUCACAACCGGAUGGCUUUAAAUUAUUGUAUUGUCUGUUUGGGACAAACAUUGAAUCCCUAAAUCCCUGUAGAGGUGUGUUAUUCCUGUGGUUUUCAGUUCUUAUUUGUAUUAGGGCCCAGCUGAAAAAGUCCCAGUGAGCCCCCCAUGUGUAAACUAUCUUUGACCAGUGAUCAGGAUCCUAUUCAGAGGACCGUAUCUCCUCCAUCUGCGGCAUGUCGACAGGCAUCCUCCUGCAUUCCAGUCCUUUUGUUUGCAGAGGUAGGGGAAGGACAUUAAUGAGUCUUCCAUUGAAUUAACAUCCUUGGAAAGUCCGCCUUGGGCUCACACCUGCUGCCUUUAAGCCGUUGGAAUCUCUACUCCAUCACUGUUGAGGAUGUGCUCCCUGGAAAAUAUGCAGGUUGCCAAAGGCCCUCAAGGUAGCGCAGCAUGCGUCGAGGAAACGGUGAAGAAUGUCAACCUGGACAUCGCCUCCACGUCCACCAGGACGGCCAAGAAUGCAGCCAUUGUUUCAAUGAAAACAGGCUCUUCAUCAUUGAUAUUGAGCACCUGUAGACUUAAUAUAUACUUUUGAACUCCA